AUUGAACGCUGGCGGCAUGCCUUACACAUGCAAGUCGAACGGCAGCACGGGUGCUUGCACCUGGUGGCGAGUGGCGAACGGGUGAGUAAUACAUCGGAACAUGUCCUGUAGUGGGGAAUAGCCCGGCGAAAGCCGGAUUAAUACCGCAUACGAUCUACGGAUGAAAGCGGGGGACCUUCGGGCCUCGCGCUAUAGGGUUGGCCGAUGGCUGAUUAGCUAGUUGGUGGGGUAAAGGCCUACCAAGGCGACGAUCAGUAGCUGGUCUGAGAGGACGACCAGCCACACUGGGACUGAGACACGGCCUAGACUCCUACGGGAGGCAGCAGUGGGGAAUUUUGGACAAUGGGCGAAAGCCUGAUCCAGCAAUGCCGCGUGUGUGAAGAAGGCCUUCGGGUUGUAAAGCACUUUUGUCCGGAAAGAAAUCCUUGGCCCUAAUACGGUCGGGGGAUGACGGUACCGGAAGAAUAAGCACCGGCUAACUACGUG
rnacentral:rRNA from 1 species